CCUGCCGCGCGCGUAUUGGGCCAAUCUUAGGAACACGUCGAGCGAAGUUAUUUACCGCCGGAUCAAAGUCCUUUUCGCUCACCAUGUUGACGCCGUUAUAGCACUCACACGGCGCUUGUUUCCUAGUGACUUGCUUAACUUGUUUAAAUAUGUACAAGGUGUGGGACAAGGCUCAAGCAACUACUUUUAUCACUCGAUUAAAAUGAAUCUGUUUUGUUUUCGUAAAUAAAGAAAUUGGAAAUUGAAAAAUAAUUAAAUUACCGUAAAAUAUCAUCAAAUAAAACAUAAUAUAAUACACAUAAUGUGUUUUUGUAAAUUUUCUUAAUCAAAAUCGUAUUUCCAUUAAAUAAUCAAUAAAAAAAUAUUGAUUUAAUUAUGUUUUUCAAUUUUCUACUUAAAUUGGCAUAAAAUUAAUCGCUGCGACGAUAAUGAAUUUUCAAUUUUUCAAUUCCGGCCGAAAAUCGCACAUUCGCUCCAAUGAUUGCACGCAAGUUGUUUCUCCUCGCGGUGAUCCUGGCGAUCCAGACGAAAUCCAGCCAUCAACUGCCUAAAGUGCCGAUUCUGUCGGCAAUUACCAGGCCGGUGGCCACAUUAAAAUCUAUACCAUUUGCUGGUUUAUUAAAUCCCGCCGCGGUGCUGAAGAUAGUCGGUAAUCUUCGAGAACUGGCUGUGGGUUUCACGCGUGCUGACUUUAUGGUGGUCGGAAUGAAAACGCUUGAGGUUUUCAGGGACUUGAUAAAAGCUGUUAACAUACCGGCGCUGUCAGAGAUGGACCGCAUGCUUGAGCUGGCACAUGGCGUCUUGGAAAGCGUUCAUCCAAUUUUGGAAGCUUUGAAAGGAAAUGCCAAAAUUGUGGAAGCUGAAGAAACUGCGGCUGGUAACGGAAAAUUCUUCCAGUACAUACGCACCGAUAAAACGACGUUAGCUAGUCUUAUAUCCGAUGGUUUUGCAACUUUUACAUCACUUCCAAGGUUGCUGACUGGUUUUUAAAGAGUUUUUAAAAUUAUCUCUGGAAAAUGUUUUAUAUUUAUUGUAAUUUUCCUGAAUAAAACAAUAACUGUAACUUACA